rnacentral:rRNA from 1 species
AUGAACGCUAGCGACAGGCUUAACACAUGCAAGUCGAGGAGCAGCACAGGUAGCAAUACCGGGUGGCGACCGGCGCACGGGUGAGUAACGCGUAUGCAACUUACCUAUCAGAGGGGGAUAACCCGGCGAAAGUCGGACUAAUACCGCAUGAAGCAGGGGCCCCGCAUGGGGAUAUUUGCUAAAGAUUCAUCGCUGAUAGAUAGGCAUGCGUUCCAUUAGGCAGUUGGCGGGGUAACGGCCCACCAAACCGACGAUGGAUAGGGGUUCUGAGAGGAAGGUCCCCCACAUUGGUACUGAGACACGGACCAAACUCCUACGGGAGGCAGCAGUGAGGAAUAUUGGUCAAUGGGCGUAAGCCUGAACCAGCCAAGUCGCGUGAGGGAUGAAGGUUCUAUGGAUCGUAAACCUCUUUUAUAAGGGAAUAAAGUGCGGGACGUGUCCCGUUUUGUAUGUACCUUAUGAAUAAGGAUCGGCUAACUCCGUGCCAGCAGCCGCGGUAAUACGGAGGAUCCGAGCGUUAUCCGGAUUUAUUGGGUUUAAAGGGUGCGUAGGCGGCCUUUUAAGUCAGCGGUGAAAGUCUGUGGCUCAACCAUAGAAUUGCCGUUGAAACUGGGGGGCUUGAGUAUGUUUGAGGCAGGCGGAAUGCGUGGUGUAGCGGUGAAAUGCUUAGAUAUCACGCAGAACCCCGAUUGCGAAGGCAGCCUGCCAAGCCAUGACUGACGCUGAUGCACGAAAGCGUGGGGAUCAAACAGGAUUAGAUGCCCUUGUAGUCCACGAAGUAAACGAUGAUCACUAGCUGUUUGCGAUACACUGUAAGCGGCACAGCGAAAGCGUUAAGUGAUCCACCUGGGGAGUACGCCGGCAACGGUGAAACUCAAAGGAAUUGACGGGGGCCCGCACAAGCGGAGGAACAUGUGGUUUAAUUCGAUGAUACGCGAGGAACCUUACCCGGGUUUGAACGCAUUUCGACCGCUCUGGAAACAGAGCCUCUAGCAAUAGCGAUUUGCGAGGUGCUGCAUGGUUGUCGUCAGCUCGUGCCGUGAGGUGUCGGCUUAAGUGCCAUAACGAGCGCAACCCUUGCCACUAGUUACUAACAGGUAAAGCUGAGGACUCUGGUGGGACUGCCAGCGUAAGCUGCGAGGAAGGCGGGGAUGACGUCAAAUCAGCACGGCCCUUACAUCCGGGGCGACACACGUGUUACAAUGGCGUGGACAAAGGGAUGCCACCUGGCGACAGGGAGCGAAUCCCCAAACCACGUCUCAGUUCGGAUCGGAGUCUGCAACCCGACUCCGUGAAGCUGGAUUCGCUAGUAAUCGCGCAUCAGCCAUGGCGCGGUGAAUACGUUCCCGGGCCUUGUACACACCGCCCGUCAAGCCAUGGGAGCCGGGGGUACCUGAAGUCCGUAACCGAAAGGAUCGGCCUAGGGUAAAACUGGUGACUGGGGCU